rnacentral:lncRNA from 1 species
UACAAACCGAAUCAUAAUGAAAAGCAUCAUUUGAUUACUCACACAUACACAUAUACAUAUUUAAACAUUCAACAUCUUGUUCCUCUGUUAAGCCAAAUUACUAGACCUUUACAAGAUAUAACAUAUCAUGAUAAACCCUUACCAUAUUCGAACUUAUAUAUAUAUCAUCUAAUGCUCAUUCACAUAUUAACACCUAUAUCAAAUAUAACAACAAAUUUCAUAUAUAUCUAUACCCAACCAAAAUCGAAUCAUCUAACCAUACUUGUGAAAAUUUAUAUACACCAUGACCG